CAUAGGUUAAUGAGGCGAACCGGGGGAACUGAAACAUCUAAGUACCCCGAGGAAAAGAAAUCAACCGAGAUUCCCCCAGUAGCGGCGAGCGAACGGGGAGCAGCCCAGAGCCUGAAUCAGUAUGUGUGUUAGUGGAAGCGUCUGGAAAGGCGCGCGAUACAGGGUGACAGCCCCGUACACAAAAAUGCACAUGCUGUGAGCUCGAUGAGUAGGGCGGGACACGUGGUAUCCUGUCUGAAUAUGGGGGGACCAUCCUCCAAGGCUAAAUACUCCUGACUGACCGAUAGUGAACCAGUACCGUGAGGGAAAGGCGAAAAGAACCCCGGCGAGGGGAGUGAAAAAGAACCUGAAACCGUGUACGUACAAGCAGUGGGAGCACGCUUAGGCGUGUGACUGCGUACCUUUUGUAUAAUGGGUCAGCGACUUAUAUUCUGUAGCAAGGUUAACCGAAUAGGGGAGCCGAAGGGAAACCGAGUCUUAACUGGGCGUUAAGUUGCAGGGUAUAGACCCGAAACCCGGUGAUCUAGCCAUGGGCAGGUUGAAGGUUGGGUAACACUAACUGGAGGACCGAACCGACUAAUGUUGAAAAAUUAGCGGAUGACUUGUGGCUGGGGGUGAAAGGCCAAUCAAACCGGGAGAUAGCUGGUUCUCCCCGAAAGCUAUUUAGGUAGCGCCUCGUGAAUUCAUCUCCGGGGGUAGAGCACUGUUUCGGCAAGGGGGUCAUCCCGACUUACCAACCCGAUGCAAACUGCGAAUACCGGAGAAUGUUAUCACGGGAGACACACGGCGGGUGCUAACGUCCGUCGUGAAGAGGGAAACAACCCAGACCGCCAGCUAAGGUCCCAAAGUCAUGGUUAAGUGGGAAACGAUGUGGGAAGGCCCAGACAGCCAGGAUGUUGGCUUAGAAGCAGCCAUCAUUUAAAGAAAGCGUAAUAGCUCACUGGUCGAGUCGGCCUGCGCGGAAGAUGUAACGGGGCUAAACCAUGCACCGAAGCUGCGGCAGCGACGCUGAUGCGUUGUUGGGUAGGGGAGCGUUCUGUAAGCCUGUGAAGGUGUGCUGUGAGGCAUGCUGGAGGUAUCAGAAGUGCGAAUGCUGACAUAAGUAACGAUAAAGCGGGUGAAAAGCCCGCUCGCCGGAAGACCAAGGGUUCCUGUCCAACGUUAAUCGGGGCAGGGUGAGUCGACCCCUAAGGCGAGGCCGAAAGGCGUAGUCGAUGGGAAACAGGUUAAUAUUCCUGUACUUGGUGUUACUGCGAAGGGGGGACGGAGAAGGCUAUGUUGGCCGGGCGACGGUUGUCCCGGUUUAAGCGUGUAGGCUGGUUUUCCAGGCAAAUCCGGAAAACUAAGGCUGAGGCGUGAUGACGAGGCACUACGGUGCUGAAGCAACAAAUGCCCUGCUUCCAGGAAAAGCCUCUAAGCAUCAGGUAACAUCAAAUCGUACCCCAAACCGACACAGGUGGUCAGGUAGAGAAUACCAAGGCGCUUGAGAGAACUCGGGUGAAGGAACUAGGCAAAAUGGUGCCGUAACUUCGGGAGAAGGCACGCUGAUAUGUAGGUGAAGUCCCUCGCGGAUGGAGCUGAAAUCAGUCGAAGAUACCAGCUGGCUGCAACUGUUUAUUAAAAACACAGCACUGUGCAAACACGAAAGUGGACGUAUACGGUGUGACGCCUGCCCGGUGCCGGAAGGUUAAUUGAUGGGGUCAGCGCAAGCGAAGCUCUUGAUCGAAGCCCCGGUAAACGGCGGCCGUAACUAUAACGGUCCUAAGGUAGCGAAAUUCCUUGUCGGGUAAGUUCCGACCUGCACGAAUGGCGUAAUGAUGGCCAGGCUGUCUCCACCCGAGACUCAGUGAAAUUGAACUCGCUGUGAAGAUGCAGUGUACCCGCGGCAAGACGGAAAGACCCCGUGAACCUUUACUAUAGCUUGACACUGAACAUUGAGCCUUGAUGUGUAGGAUAGGUGGGAGGCUUUGAAGUGUGGACGCCAGUCUGCAUGGAGCCGACCUUGAAAUACCACCCUUUAAUGUUUGAUGUUCUAACGUUGACCCGUAAUCCGGGUUGCGGACAGUGUCUGGUGGGUAGUUUGACUGGGGCGGUCUCCUCCUAAAGAGUAACGGAGGAGCACGAAGGUUGGCUAAUCCUGGUCGGACAUCAGGAGGUUAGUGCAAUGGCAUAAGCCAGCUUGACUGCGAGCGUGACGGCGCGAGCAGGUGCGAAAGCAGGUCAUAGUGAUCCGGUGGUUCUGAAUGGAAGGGCCAUCGCUCAACGGAUAAAAGGUACUCCGGGGAUAACAGGCUGAUACCGCCCAAGAGUUCAUAUCGACGGCGGUGUUUGGCACCUCGAUGUCGGCUCAUCACAUCCUGGGGCUGAAGUAGGUCCCAAGGGUAUGGCUGUUCGCCAUUUAAAGUGGUACGCGAGCUGGGUUUAGAACGUCGUGAGACAGUUCGGUCCCUAUCUGCCGUGGGCGCUGGAGAACUGAGGGGGGCUGCUCCUAGUACGAGAGGACCGGAGUGGACGCAUCACUGGUGUUCGGGUUGUCAUGCCAAUGGCACUGCCCGGUAGCUAAAUGCGGAAGAGAUAAGUGCUGAAAGCAUCUAAGCACGAAACUUGCC
rnacentral:rRNA from 1 species